UGAGCUGGAGUCCAGCCAGUUCUUACUCUCAAUGUGGCUGUGAUGAUGAGAAAAAGGACCCUAGAAUGGUACAUAUGCAGCAGAGGAACUUGCUGGAGGCUUCAGAUAGAUGACUGCUUUUCUCAUUUAGAGUGGUGACUGGAAGGCAAGGAAGACCAUGUGAGGAAUGCUGGUGUGUUGGUAACUGUGAGCAUCAGAAGUAUCUAUUACUGCACGUGAUUGUAUGACAGAUGCUCCUCCCCACUCCUAACAGCUCAAAACCCCUUAGCCAUUAACAGCAGUCAAUUCGUCAAUUCCCUCAUUGCAGAAGCAGGAGGAUUUGAAGGUGAUCCACAUCUCAGCAGCUCCAGGAACAGAAGAGAAGCCUGCAAAGCCAGGUGUGGAGAAUUUUAAGAGUGUCUCAUUACUGACCACUAAUUAAAUCUAAUGUGAAAGAAAUGUUGGAUGAAAUCCUGCCGACUCUGGAGUUCCUGGCAAAGCUCCUGUUGACUUCAGCAGAACUCAGAUUUUGCUUUUGGGGGUUUUGUUUGUCUCUGAAGAUGAUCAUUAUAAUAAUUUAUUAUCUUGUGGCAUCUGGGAUCUCCAGUUAAAGCUCAGGCCUCGUGGCACUGGGUAAGUAAACAGGCUAUUUGAGUUUUAGAUCAUUACACUCAAUGUGACAAGCAGAAGUUACUGUUUGAAACGACUAGGCAAGGUGGCAAGAGGAAGCUGACCCUGACACUAACAAAGUUUGUCAUAAUGGUGAAUAGGUUACUAGAAAACAUACCAUAGUGCUUUCCUGUCACCGUGGGCAAAGCAUUCAGAAGUGCCUGCCCAUGACCAAAUGAUUUCUUCUUGAGGCAGCCAGACCUCUUUGAGGGCAGAGUCUUUUAAGAAUGCUUGUUGAGAUUUAGAAGGAUCAUCACUCCUGUAUGAGAAGAUCUUGGUGCUUUAUACAAGGGCCACAUAUCCUAGACAAUGCUGGGUGGAGAGUCAUGUCCAGGUGUUAUCCAUACAUACAGAUGUUGUGACAGGAGUUGGGGCACGUGCAAGAGGGAUCUGUAGUAACAUCCACAGCACAAAGCAGA